GCCCAGCGGGCGGGCUCAGGCCUUUGCCCCAAACCGCCGCCGCGGGGCCAAUCGGGCCUUUGGGCGCUCCCGGGCCGCCUUUCCCGGCCCGCGGCUUCCUCCAGCCCGCCCCGCCCCUCGGACUCCCGGGCCGCCCCCGGCCCGCAGUUGGGCCCGGCCUCGCGGCGGCUCGGCAGCUCCGCCGCGCCCGCGAGCCCCGGGAGUCGGCGCGGCGCGUGAACUUUCCAAGGUACUCCAGACUCCUGUGCUCCAAGAAAUCAGACCAUCCAGCGUGUGGAAGGCAGGGGCAGCCUUCCACCACGGAGAGCCAGCU
rnacentral:lncRNA from 1 species